GUAGGUGGCAAGCGUUGUCCGGAAUUAUUGGGGCGUAAAGCGCGCGCAGGCGGUUCUUUAAGUCUGAUGUGAAAGCCCACGGGCUCAACCGUGGAGGGUCAUUGGAAACUGGAGAACUUGAGUACAGAAGAGGAAAGCGGAAUUCCACGUGUCGCGGUGAAAUGCGUAGAGAUGUGGAGGAACACCAGUGGCGAAGGCGGCUUUCUGGUCUGUAACUGACGCUGAGGCGCGAAAGCGUGGGGAGCAAACAGGAUUAGAUACCCUGGUAGUCCACGCCGUAAACGAUGAGUGCUAAGUGUUAGGGGGUUUCCGCCCCUUAGUGCUGCAGCUAACGCAUUAAGCACUCCGCCUGGGGAGUACGGCCGCAAAGGCUG
rnacentral:rRNA from 1 species